rnacentral:rRNA from 1 species
AGGGGGUCCCGCUGGCGGCGUGCCUCAGAAUGCAAGUCGAACGAUUAAGACUUCCUUCGGGAAGUGCAUAAAGUGGCGCACGGGUGAGUAACACGUAAGUAAUCUACCCUCGAGUGGGGAAUAACGUUCGGAAACGGACGCUAAUACCGCAUAACGCAGCGGCACCGCAAGGUGACAGUUGUUAAAGGAGCAAUCCGCUUGAGGAGGAGCUUGCGGCAGAUUAGCUAGUUGGUAGGGUAAUGGCUUACCAAGGCUACGAUCUGUAUCCGGUCUAAGAGGACGGUCGGACACACUGACACUGAAUAACGGGUCAGACUCCUACGGGAGGUAGCAGUCGGGAAUUUUGGGCAAUGGGCGAAAGCCUGACCCAGCAACGCCGCGUGAAGGAUGAAGUAUUUCGGUAUGUAAACUUCGAAAGAAUAGGAAGAAUAAAUGACGGUACUAUUUAUAAGCUCCGGCUAACUACGUGCCAGCAGCCGCGGUAAUACGUAGGGAGCAAGCGUUGUUCGGAUUUACUGGGCGUAAAGGGCGCGUAGGCGGCGCGGUAAGUCACUUGUGAAGUCUCUGAGCUUAACUCAGAACGGCCAAGUGAUACUGCAGUGCUAGAGUGCAGAAAGGGCAAUCGGAAUUCUUGGUGUAGCGGUGAAAUGCGUAGAUAUCAAGAGGAACACCUGAGGCGAAGGCGGGUUGCUAGGCUGACACUGACGCUGAGGCGCGAAAGCCAGGGGAGCAAACGGGAUUAGAUACCCCGGUAGUCCUGGCCCUAAACGAUGAAUACUUGGUGUCUGGAGUUUCAAUACUCCGGGUGCCGUCGCUAACGUUUUAAGUAUUCCCGCCUGGGG